UGGGGAAUCUUGCACAAUGGGGGAAACCCUGAUGCAGCGACGCCGCGUGAACGAUGAAGCCCUUCGGGGUGUAAAGUUCUUUCGACAGGAACGAUAAUGACGGUACCUGGAGAAGAAGCUGCGGCUAACUACGUGCCAGCAGCCGCGGUAAUACGUAGGCAGCGAGCGUUGUUCGGAGUUAAUGGGCGUAAAGAGUGCGUAGGCGGCGAGCCAAGUUUGGUGUAAAAUCUCCCGGCAUAACCGGGAGGGUGCGCCGAAAACUGGUUGGCUGGAGAAUGGGAGAGGAAAGCCGAAUUCCUGGUGUAGCGGUGAAAUGCGUAGAUAUCAGGAGGAACACCUGCGGUGUAGACAGCUUUCUGGACCAAAACUGACGCUGAGGCACGAAAGCGUGGGUAGCAAACA
rnacentral:rRNA from 1 species